rnacentral:rRNA from 1 species
GACGAACGCUGGCGGCGUGCUUAACACAUGCAAGUCGAACGGAAAGGCCCUGCUUUUGUGGGGUGCUCGAGUGGCGAACGGGUGAGUAACACGUGAGUAACCUGCCCUUGACUUUGGGAUAACUUCAGGAAACUGGGGCUAAUACCGGAUAGGAGCUCCUGCUGCAUGGUGGGGGUUGGAAAGUUUCGGCGGUUGGGGAUGGACUCGCGGCUUAUCAGCUUGUUGGUGGGGUAGUGGCUUACCAAGGCUUUGACGGGUAGCCGGCCUGAGAGGGUGACCGGCUACAUUGGGACGGAGAUACGGCACAGACUCCUACGGGAGGCAGCGGUGGGGAAUAUUGCACAAGGGGCGGAAGCCUGAUGCAGCAACGCCGGGUGCGGGAUGACGGCCUUCGGGUUGUAAACCGCUUUCGCCUGUGACGAAGAGUGAGUGACGGUAAUGGGUAAAGAAGCACCGGCUAACUACGUG